rnacentral:rRNA from 1 species
AGGAAGGGGGCGGGCGACAUGAGUACUGUGGGAAGCUGAUCAGCAUGCCGCGUGAGUGAGAAGGCCUUCGGGUUGUAAGCUCUUUUGUCCGGAAAGAAAUGACGGUUCCACUACAAUAAGCCCAUGACUGUUCCGUACCAACAACCGCCGUAAUACUAAGGGCGCUAGCGUUGCUCAAAAUCUAUGGGCCUAACGUUAAUCUAAGUUACUCUUCUAAUAACGUGUGAAAUCCGGUUGCUCAACCCCAGGUGAGCUUCUCAGGCUGAACAUGGUAACUUCAUUAGAGAUUGUUGGGCUUGUGUAUGGCAGAGUGGGGUACAUUUCUAUGUGUAUUAUUAAAAUUUG